rnacentral:misc_RNA from 1 species
UAUACAACUCACUACCUCGU